ACGGAGGAUGCGAGCGUUAUCCGGAUUCAUUGGGUUUAAAGGGUGCGUAGGCGGACUAUUAAGUCAGCGGUGAAAUCCUGCAGCUUAACUGCAGAACUGCCAUUGAUACUGAUAGCCUUGAGCUUGGUUAAGGUAGGCGGAAUGUGUAAUGUAGCGGUGAAAUGCUUAGAUAUUACGCAGAACCCCGAUUGCGUAAGCAGCAUACUGGGCCAUAUCUGACGCUGAGUCACGAAAGCGUGGGGAUCGAACAG
rnacentral:rRNA from 1 species